rnacentral:lncRNA from 1 species
UUUUUUUUCUUUUUUUUUUUUUUUAGGUGUGUCUCGCAGGGAGUGAACCCCGCAGACUAUUCACCACCCUCAGCAACUUGCUGGCAGCAAGGUUCGAACCAGGGACCUGAGGCUCCAUCUUCAGCAACUUCAACCACCAGACCAAACCCCUGAGGGCAAAACAAAGAAUGUUACCAAUAGUUCUUUCUAGACUAGCAUGCCGGUUAUCGAUUUCAAUGUAAACAAUUUAGAACUCCAAAACUGCCUUGUUAAUGCUAUAAUUCCAAUGCAACUAUGUGUUCACAAAUGGUAAAGUAACUGGGGAUAAUGCUACAGCAUAGUUUAAACAAUAAAGAUCAAUUUUAAGGGGAAUUUUGUACAUUUGUUCAAAGGAUAAUAUCGACACGCAAGAGCAAUCCUCAUUCGUUUUUCUAUGUUUAAUUCUUUCUUUAUAUUCUUUCCUCCACUCAUUCUGGAAAAAAUAAAUAAAAACCAAUUUAUCCCAUUAUCUUUGUUGCUUAUGGGGAUUAAGGCAUUUUUAUGCACAAAGGGCACAUUACAUUUUCUUAUCCUUAUCAAUAUAUAUAUAUAUAUAUAUAUAUAUAUAUAUAGAAACUAAUUAUCUUAUAUAUAUCUAAUAAGAAAAAAAAAACUAUUUUUGCUGGUGAGUGUCUUGUGGGCUGUUCCACUCUUCAAUCACAUUCAUCCAACAUGGCUCCACAUUAAUUUUGUUACACAUUUUACAAAUUGCUUAAGAAUUUUCAGUCAUCCUUGAUCCACUGAGGUUAACAUAUAUGGUAAUGAUGUGCAACCAAAUUUACAUCAGGCAAAACAGCUUGGCACACUAAACAUUUGAUGAAUUUGACAUUUAUGGCAAUAAUUGUUCAUGCACUAAUAGCACUUUAUUAAUUAAAUACAGUUAAACACAAAUAAUGUCGUAGGCCUUUAUCAUUUGCUGAUAUCUCAAGUUUCAUUUCUGCAAGGAUAAUUAGAAGUUUCAUUCUCUGAUAUUAGUCACAAUCGCAGAGAACCAUUUACUGAUCUUUUAGAUUGGGCUAACACCCCCUUAGCUUUGAAAACCUCUUAUUGGUUUUUUUUUUUUUUAUAAUAACAUCCCGGAUAGUGAUGUCAAAUGAAAAAUCAGAAUUCCAAAAAUGCGUUCUUAAUGCUAUAUUUUAAACGGUUUGUCUGACUGGGGCACCCAUUAAUAUAUAUUUCAGGUAUUAUACUUUUGAAAAUAUAAGAUUAAUUAGGCAAAAUAAAUAAAUACAAGGGAGUGUAGGCAAGAUUAAAUAGGGAGAAUAUAUGAAUGCAAGAAAGAAUAACAAUUAAUUGUUAGUAUAGUAUAGAAGUGGCAAAAUGGAUAUAUGGUUGAUAAAUGGUUUUAGUUAAAUGGAUAGUGGAUCAAAUUGAUCCAAUCCAAUUAAAACCAUUUAAUAAAUGGAUCUAAAUGGAUGUCAUUUAAAUGGAUAGUGUAAACCAUGAUCCAUCCAUUUAUCCAUUUACUCUUCCAAAUCCUAAAUUUAAGAUCCAAAUAUUUUUUUCUAAAAAAUACAGAUCCCCAAAGUUUUAUCCUUAAAUCACCUAAAACCUUUUGGUAAUAACAAAUGCUUGUACUGUUACUUUAUUUCAGUUCUUCAUAAAAUUAGUUUAGUUCCAAGAAAAUUUAACUGUCCUUUCAUCAUUACUUUAAGUAUCAUUUUGUAAAGUAAUGAACAAUUAAGAACUUAGCUAUAUUUUUAUAACUUUUGAAUGAAUUGAAUACGGCUUUACAGUGAAAAAAAGUUUACGUUUCCAAUUUUUUGCACUCCUGUUCAAGAGUGAUGUCUUGAAUAAAAGUGGAGUUCUAAUAAGAAAUCUUAUGUUAUUUGACAAGUAAAUUAUUUUCAUCACAUGUGCACGUAGUACCUAAACAUAUAUAAAACUCCUUAUUAUACCAUUGAUAUACAAGCUACCUUAUAUUACUUAGUAAAUUAGGUAUAUAUAUAUUUUUUUGGAUAGUUGGGUUGGGUGAUAAAGGGAGAGGAAUUGAAAGUAUGAGGAUUUGGAAAAAAAAAAAAAAAGGUGUCAUUUACAUAUCUUAACCAAUGUUGCGGGGACACUCGUUAGAAAAAUUCUUUUAUAAUUAAAAGAAUUAAAAAAAUAAAAAUUAUUUUGACACUGCAUGAUGCAUUCUCGCUUUUUCUUUACUUAAGAAUAUAAAUGUUUGCAAUCAUUACUACAUGAGAGUUUAAUUAAAAAAAAACAAGAGUAGAGACUAAAAUAUAAUUUUGAAAAGUAUGGAAGAAGUCUAGGAACUAGAAGCAAAUAAAAUGUAAUUAAUGUUAUUGGCAACUUGGCAUGUGAGGAAGUUAUGAAAGAAAGAAUAGGUGGUCCCACAAAAUUAAUUUGACAUAUGAGGAAGUUAUGAAGAAAAAAAUAGAUUGUCCCACAAGAUUUUCUCACAUUUUUAUAAAUGUGUUUUCUAUUUUUUAAGUUAAAUGGAUGUAUAUGGAUAAGAUGGAUAAUCCAUUUAAAUCCACCAACAUAAUUGGAUUUAAAUGGUUAUCCAUUUAAAACCAUUGAAUUUAUAUGGAUAAUCCAAAUCCAUUUAAGGUUGGUUUAUAUGGAUGGAUUGGUGGAUAUGAAUCCAUUUUGCCACUUCUAGUAUAGUAUAUGUAUAUAUAUAUAUAUAUAUAUAUAUAUAUGGUAUGUUAGAUAAACACUAGAUGUAUAUAUUAACGAGUGCCCUAAAAGCACCCGUUACAAAAGCUCUAUUUUUAAUAUGUUCGAUGGAAUAAUUUCUUAUAUCUAUUAUGUCCAAGGGUUAGGUCCAUACAAAACCCGGAUAUGCAAAAUAAGUACUCGAAUGGGAAUUUUGUAUAAUUUCUCAAUUUGCCUGAUUAGCUUUGUUUGCUUCGAUUCAUUAGGCAGAACGGACACCUUCUCCAAACGGUAUCAUGCACAGAAAACUAUAGAGUAAACUUCACAGCUAAGUACAAAAACCAGAUUAAACUAUAGAAAUAAAUUAUUUUGCCAUACAAAUGCGGACUUGUCUUCCGCUCUCGAGUCACAUGGAGCUAACGAACAAGAGAGUUAAUAAUAAUUCAAGAUACUCGGAAUAGGCUGCUACAAGGCCGCGCAAUUCCAAGCCGAUUGUGUGAAAAGUUCGCCCAAUGAAUUUUCAACACAUCAGCUCAAAUGGGGCAGUUGAAAUACCGAAAUAAAAAAAAAAAAAAAACCAAACCUAAUUCAAGAUGGACCCUUAAUCUACCGGUCCACCUACAAGUACAUGCUUCUCUAAUCACAUACCGUAUCCGAGGCUAUUUUGAUUCCUUAUGCGGGAUCACAAGAUCCUCAUCAUAAAGAAAUUUUGAACCAAAAAAAAAAAAAAAAGAACAGGAAUAGAACAUAAAAUAAAUUACACCACUCGACUGUUAAUCAGAUGGGAUAGUAUUCCGUAGAUCACCAGUUCGAAUCGCUCUAUAGUAUCGCCUUGGACAAAACUCUGCCACCCAGAAUGUGAAUUAGUCUAGUUAAAUCGGGAUACCACUUUCUCUUGACAAAAAAAAAAAUCAAAAAUAAUAAGAGGAGGGCAAAUGGAGAGGUUCAAAACUCUCCAAAUCGGAGACUGGGGGCAUCUGACUGAACAGUGGGCUAUGCACGAAAAUGGUGGAAUCAAAGCCCAGCCCAAGAUGUUUCUGACAGUAAGAUGAGGCAGGUUCUGUAGUGGGCUCAUCUGUGUAGGUGCCACACAGGUGUGUCGAGGGUUCAGCCCAAACCUCACUCGAAAAGGCCGAAGGUAGAGCAGGAAGCUGUUCCGACCCACCAGCAUCUCCAGAAGAGUUGGAGUAGUGGUGGGAAGAGUCAAAAUGGUGAAGAAUACCCUCAGCUGCAGAGACUGAAGGUUGCUGAUGAUAAUGACUUUUUGGACUUGCAUAUACAUCUCCAGGAGUCCCUGAAUAGCCAUCAUAGUAACUACUAUACUCCAUUUUGGAAUGCCCAACUCUUGAAUAGAGAUAAUCCUGACUACCACACUGGGAAAUUUGCUGAUGCUGCUGUUGCUGGUGCUGAUGAUGAAAUUGCAGAACUUCUCCUUCCUGUUGUUGUUGUACUAGGGAGUUAAUAUGAUCAUGGUGGUAUCCAAAACCGCGAAGAUUAUUUUGAAUGGAUCGGUGAUUAGGCGCGAUGGUUUCCUCGGGGCAUAUGAUGGCUGUGACAGAUGAGCCAGGGGGCAUGUCUGAGUAGACAAAGUUAGUACGAGCACGAGAGCCCCGCAUUGAGCGAGCAGCUUUAUCGUAGGCAAGGGCAGCUUCCUCAGCCGUGUCAAACGUCCCAAGCCAAUGCCUUUCUUUGGUUGUUGGAUCGCGUAUCUCCGCGGCAAAUCGUCCCCAUGGCCUCCUCCUUACUCCCAGGAAUUUUACUGCAUCUCCACCUGUUUCCUGCUGCAUCUUGACUUGGGCUUGCUGCUUCUUUUUGCCACUGCUAGAUGAUGACAUUGAUGAUAGUGAUAUGUGUGUGUGGAAUAUGUAGCUUUCUUCUGUAUCAAGACUAAGCUAAGGUGACUGCUACUAGUAGUAGUUGGAUUUCUUAUAGAUGGAUGAUAGUUGCUUUCUUUUGUUUGUCAUAGGGUGCCAUUUUAUGUAGUCAAUGAGUGGAUAUAUAUAGUCUUAGACUACUAGGUAUCAAAUAGGGAGGGAGUUGGAGGAUACUAGGGCCAUUAGGGGAGAGAAAAUGAGAGACUUUUAGCAAUUUCAAGUGCUCAAGAGUCCAAUUUUUAUUUUUUUUUCACUAAUUUUUAUCUAUUGUGUAAUUAUUUUUGUCUUGCAAAUUGAUCAUAUAACCAGGUGUAAAAAAGGUCGAGUUGGGAAAUAUCCUGGUCUGCUUUCACAUAUAGGUUGUAAUUUUUUUUUUAAAGUAAAUCUUAUAUACACUGAUAGUAGAUGCACUAUUACCAUUUGAUUCAUGACAUACGUGUAAAAGUUGAAUUUCAAAUUCAAAUUUUAUAUAGUUGUCAUUCAUCCAACGCUGAUAGUAUAUACACUGUUAGUAUAGGAAAGAUUAAUCCUUUUUUUAUAAAAAAAAAAAGUUAAAUUCUAAAAUUUACCCUGAGAUGAUUAAAUUUCCAUAAUCAACUUUUACAAAAUUUAGAUCAAACAAGAACAUGCAGAGAAUAAUAUAUUCUGUGAAUUGUGGGACGUGUUACCUAACUUUCAGUUUUUUAGUAAAAGGAAGGAAAAGCAAAGCAACCGCCAAUUUAGAUUUUAGCCAUUUGUGGGCCAUUACCACUCAACCACCAUAUGCCAAGUUCCAAAAGGGAGGUUAUUGGUUCUUCUGGCAAUUAAUUAAAAGACUCAGGAAGUUUGCAUGUGAAUUGGCUCUUGAAUGAAACCAAAAGAAGUCAAGGGACCCAUUUUCACUAACAAAACUGAUGAACAAAGUUCAUAUGAAUGAGAAGAAGAUGACAAGAGAUUGAGCGGUUCUAUAGUGAGAAGCUUUGAAUUGCAUGAUGGAAAGUAUACUCUUCAAGAAAAAAAAAAAAAAGGGCAAUUUGCUCAAUUGCAUGAUUACAUGCAAUUGUAGUGGAUCAGCAUGUUCUUCUUAUGAUUGCCAUUAAUCUUGCACAUCCACAUAAUUAUUCUCAAUCAGAAUCUAAUUAUUUAAUAUCACUGUAGAUUAUUCUUAUGAUUACAAGCGGUUUGGUUCAAGUUUGAUAAAAAAAACCCAUAGAGUGUUUGGUUCAGGUUAAGGCUUCCGAACGUAGAAAUUCUUGGUUCUAUUCCCCUACUCCCUUCCCGUUUCUUAAAUCCCACCCCUCCCUUGCUAGGAAAAAAAAAAGCUUUACAGCAAUGGGUCUUAAUAAUAAAAAAAAUAAUGAUAAAUAAAACCCUAAUCUUUCAUAGUUAAUCAUGAAACUCAUUAAUUGACUGACUUUAAACCAACAUUAUGUAUGAAUACAAUAUGAAAUUAAAACCCAUUUCUGGUCUUAAAAUCCACUUACCAAACACCUCCCUAGUAGAAUCAAUUUUUGGUGGAUUGACUAGUUAGUGGAAUUAAUAAAAACAUGAUACUACAUCUACAGGCACCAUGCAUUGUCUGUUUCUUUUUAGUCAGCAGUCUUUGCUUAAACCCAUUUUUUUUUUCUGUUAAAACUCUUGGUCUUGACCUGCAUUGCAUGUGAUCUUUUGUUUCUAAUGAACCGACUACUACAUUUUCUACCUGAUCACCUUAUUAAAUAAUUGAAUGCAAAUUUAAUUGUAAAAAAGACACAAGUGUGUGCAUGAAUCAUGAUCAAUGAUUGGUCUCUAAAUCCUAAUCAUCUGGACUGAAGUAGUCAUUAUUGAAGUUUUUUUUACAAUGAUUGGCUACUCUCCGAUGAAUUCUCUUUCUAUAUCCCACAAUGCAUAUCUAGAUGAAUAACACGGAUCUAUAGGAGUUAUGACCUAUGGAGCCAAACAACCCAACUUUCGGUCUACGAAGUUUUUCUAUGGAUUUGGUCCAAAGCCCUCCUCUUCACUCAAAAUAUUUUUCCUUUUCUUUCAACAUAAAAAAAAUUAUUAUUCAACUAAUUGCUAUAUGAUGCCUUCCUUUGCUUUGCAUAUAGAAGAAUUAUAAUUGAAAUUAUUGCUAAGUGAUGUGGAAUCCUUAGGGAAUCAGAAUGUAACCUAGAUAAAGGGCAUCUUCAAUUUAUUGUAGGGUCUAAUUAAUGGUCUAUGUUUAAGUUAUAUCAGUUUAAUCCAAUCCAAACCAUCCAAUUCAAAUUUAAAAACAAAACGAAUAUUUUUUUUUUCUUUGUUUUUGAAUUGACCACCUAAAUCUGGCUACAUCAGUCCGGACUGAUUUGGGCUGUCAAUUAUUCUCUGUAAUUGCCCUUAGCGAUUGCAGAGCUAUUAUACCUAAAGUAAGUCCAUCAGGAAACUUAUAAAUCCUGCUAUUUUGUGUAUGUUUAUCUGGUCGCCCUUGUAUGGAGUUCCUACUUCAUGACUGCCAUUUUGCGCCAAGAAUUUCUUCACAUAUCCUCAAGUAACUCAGUCCCAGAAACAGGUAUCCACCUUGGUUGGUCGAGCUACUUGAGCAAAUUCCUUGUGCAUGCUCCGAGCCUCUUACCAUAUUUCGUACUCCCACCUCUAAAUUUAGACUGCUGAAGCGUUAUGUCAACAGGUUGAUAGGACACUGGUUUUAGAAGUAAAAGGCAAUUUUGUGCAGUAUGAUCUUGGAAGAGGUUGACAGUGUCUCAGAUUGUUUUGCAAACCACCUCAGGCGGUCAAGUCAGCCGUGGCUAUGGUGGCGCGCAGAUAAGAUGUCAAAUAGGACAAGGCAUUACAGCGCUGAGUGGUGGUGCUUGAGCAUGCAUAUCUAAGUCAUAUGUCCUCCUAACUCAGAACUUGAUACAACAAUAAGGUACAAAGUUGGCACAGGUGACAAAAGGGCGAUAAAUUAUGGUAACAAAAAGAUAGAUAAUCAAGACAAAGGUUGAUCUGCACAAAGUGAUCGCCCCAACAGGAAUGUGAUGAUGUAAAAGCAACAGUCAAAUUACAAGAAGAAAAGGAAAUGGAACUUUACUAAUAGCUGUGAGUGAACUACACAAGGUCGAGCUAUUUUUUGUCAACAGAAAUAAUGACAAAAAUAGCUCGCUGGACUCACAAUCAAACUAAAGAAUAUGGUCAAUCAAUCAAUGGAUCAAUCAUCCCUUUACACAAAAAUUGCAGGGGGGGAGGUUAUAAUUGCCUGGAUUAGGAGGCAACCAAAUCAAUCAGGUGAAAAAGGAAAGGGAAAAUACAAUGAACAAUCAAGUCAAGCAAAGAACUAUUCCAACAGAUGUACAAAGCUUCACAGAUCUAUUGAGCAGAGAUCUCCACAAACUUGUCUGAUGUUGGGCCUUUCAUUUACGGGAAGGAUACACCGAAGCGAUAUGGCAAGCAAGUCAUUCAUCGCUUUUGAAUGCUCUUCCCCACCAGCAAUAUCUCUGUCAAUACAGUCCAUUCCUCGACCUUCUUGAUCACAUAGCCGAAGCCAGUCUGUAAGAUCAACAGCUCCUGAUUCACCAGAGAUGAUGUCACCGGCACUUCUUCUGGUCAGCAAUUCCAUCAGAAUAACACCCAGUGCAUAAACAUCAGCCUUAAAUGAUGGCAUAGGUUUUGUGGCAUUUGCAAGCUCUGGGGCACGAUAUCCAAGGGUCCCCAGGUUCAGUAUCUGCUCAGCGAUGCCAGCUGGAGUCAUCAGGCGGUGGAGACAAUAAUCUGUAAGACGAGCAUCGUAGUUAGGCCCCUCCAAGAUUACAUUCGUAGGCUUUAAGUUUCCAUGAGGCAAUCCUCUUUCAUGAAGGUACAUCAGACAGCGAGCAACAUCAACAGCGACCUUUACCCUUUGACUGAAUGAUAACGGGGAGUACCUCCGAGGCGUUGUCUCUGCAUGGCAUACAUUUCAGAACAUGAGCAAAGCACAUUAUUUUUGCAGAGCUUUACCUCUAACCCAGCUAUAAAGACAUGUUAAAUCACUAAUCAGAAUUUAACAGUUGCCAAAAACUUACCACACGCCAAAAUUCCAAGUCCGACAACUAGAGAAUAAGCAAUGACAUUUAACAAUAGCAGAAAUGGACUCACCUGCUUGGGGAAAUAUAAUAGCACUGCAGAAGCUGAGCAAUAGGCAAUCCUCUUAAUGCUAAUCAAUAUUACAGAGGAGGACCAUAGAAUAUCAAGAUACUAUAAGUGAGAACACUCAGUAAAUGUCCUGCAUUAUAACUCACACGCCUUGCGCCACUGUUCAGCACAAGAAAAAUUCACUCAAAAAGUGUGUAGAGUCCAUUGGGAUGUGCUAAAUCGAUCAUCCUUCCCUGUUUUGUCUUUUUUGUUUGAAGUGACAGGAUCAUUGAAAGCUUACACAGACAAUCAAAUGCAACUCUUCAAAUAAACUGUCACCCAACUUGUUUUCAUGAUUCCAGAAGUGUUGUUGCCUUAAUACAGGUACCAUAUAGGUAACACAGGAAAAUACUAGUACAUAUCAAUGGCAAACAACACUGACUAGCAUUUAUAUUUCCAAAUAGCACAAGAAGGAAGUAGAAAGCACAUUAUAGGAUUUGUUCAAUAGGGAGUUAAUAAAUGGUAAUCCGUUAUGUGAUUAUCAACAAAACCAGAAAAUACAGUGCACAGGCCACAUAUUCCAGAUUAAAUAGGAUGUUUCAAGGGCUUACCAUAAAGAUGAAGAGCCAAGCUAUCUCCCUGUAUGUAGUCUGCUAAGACAAGUCGCUCUUGUUCUCUAGGUCCCCAGUAGUAAGCUCGCAAAGAAACAACAUUGGGGUGCCUUAUUGAUCCAAUCUUUCUUACUUCUUUUGCAAAUUCUUUCUUAUUUUUGACCAAUCCUACUCUCAACCACUUCACAGUAAGCAUAUGACCGUUGUCAAGGGUAGCUUUGUAUAAGGUACCAUGGCUGCUCCUACCAAGAACUUCAGCCGGAGCACGAGACAACUCCUCAGCUGUAAAUGCCAGUGAAGCAUCCAGAAAGAACAGUUCUCCAGCCAAUCGAUCCGGCGAAUACACAUCCAAAAUCACCGGUUGUUCAAAUGUGUCAAUGAAACGGGGUGAGGAAGCAAUUGGAGAACCUGGAGAGGACUUUCUUCCAGAUGUUGCAGGACGAUUAUCUUGUACAUUGGGAUUCACAUAUGUAGAACCAGUUGCAGAACCCUCAGGCAAAACACGUUCAACAAUUUCAGUACUGGAGUCCAGCGGACCUGACAAGGAUCUUGAGUUCGAAGGCAGCAGAUGAUCAUUAGAAAAGCUCAAGGAUGUGGGAGGUGGCUCCUCAGUAUGGAACUUGAAAAGCGAAGGCCGACUAAAUCUUCCUAGUCUAUCAUCUCGACCAGCAGUCUGGCCACUAAAUCUGCCCUGCCCACGGAAGUCAUGGUGCUGAGCUCGAUAGUAUGCCAGUAAAACAAAGGCAAUCAUGACAACAGCUCCGACAGAGGCAACUAUAAUAGCUAUCCUUAUACUAGAUUUCGAGCUAUGAUGUUUUCCUCUAACAUCAAUUUCAUCAGGAACUUUGUGAUGUGGAGAUGAUCCCCCAGGUGGAAGUAUGAGCAAGGUGUUCCCAGGAUGAAAUGAAGAAUCUGGAAAAUGUAUCAAAUUUUCCGGGACUGUCCCCUCUAAAUCAUUGUAUGACACAUUAAAAACUUCAAGUCUUGAAGAAAGUUCAUCAGGGAUCUUGCCCUUGAAAUUAUUAUUUGAUAGAUCAAGAUAUUCCAAGCCAUUAAUUUUGUUCAGUUCACUUGGCAGGUCUCCAGACAUUUGAUUUCUUGCCAGAUUCAGUAAUCUAAGCCUCCCCAAGUUACCAACAUCAGAAGGUAAGAUUCCUGUCAAGGAAUUGUCUGAAAGAUCAAGCAACUCUAUCGGAAAAGAUGAAGGAAGUGCUAAUAACUCACUGGCACCUGAAGCACCAAUAGGAAUUCUUCCAUUCAAAUGAUUUCCAGACAUGUUCAAGCUGGUCAAGGUCAGGGAUUUAAAGAGAGAACCAGGGAGGCUCCCAUCAAGUUUAUUAGAGCUGAGAUCGAGGGUAGCCAGCCUUGGACUAUCCCCCAGUUCGCUAGGCACGCUUCCCACCAAGGAGUUAUUUCUAAAACUUAGCAGGCUCAGCCUCUGCAACAGUGUCCAGUUAGAAAUGCUUCCAGUCAAAUUGUUCGAGCUCAAGUCUAGAACUUCCAAACUGGCUCCCCAAUUAUCCAUUACUCUGAUGUCAUCAGAUAGCAUAUUUCUACUCAAAUCAGCGAGAACACAAUUUCCCAAAGAAGGUGGAAGUGAACCUGAGAGCACAUUGGACGAAAGGUUCAACGUACGCAAUGUAGUCGAGUUAACCUCUUGGAUAGAAUCUGCACAAAUGCCAACAGUUCCUUCAAGAUAUUUAGGACAUCUAGCUCAUGUUUUUGAAAUACAAUCUUAGAUUCAGGAAAGUUGUAAAACAUUGGUAACAAAUUGGCAAAUAUCUUAACUUCUUUUCAUAGACUUGGCUCAAUAGAAUAUUCUCACAUAGGCAGAACAAGAAUUCAAGAAAGGAUAUGAAUGCAUGCCAAAAAAGAUCAAAAUAAGUACAUGCAGAGUGUAAGAGAGCAUCAUUAAACUUCUCUAAUCUCUUCUUUUGUCUUAAAUUCUGCAAAGCAUCUAUGUUAAGCUCAUAAAUAAUUCUGCCAGAUAAUAUGAGUUGGCACCGACAAAAAAAAAGCAAAGAUCAUAUAGAAAGUUUAUAGCUUGAGGCUUCCACAGCACAUCAUCAAAACAUGUAAAAUUUUAGUACUGACAAUUCUGUUGCUCCUGUGUAUGAUUUUUGUUACCUACCCUUUUUGAAGAUAAAUAAGCAUUUUUUUACUUGAAUACAGCAUUAACUUCCAUUUCAAAUAUACUUUUUGGCAUAUGUAAAAUGCAGAAUCUAGUCUUAGUUUUACUUACCAAGUUAAAAUCGACAAGUUUCAAAGAAUUGGACAAAAACUUUAAGAAAUGAUUGCGCUAGGGAUUAAGUGGCAAUCAACAUACUAAUUUCUCAAGUAUCUUGUCAAUAUGACCAAGUAAUGAUCCAAAUAUUCAUGCUCAAAAUUGAAAAAGGGUAGUUCCAGUCCACAAAAUGUUUUGCUCCAAUAAUUUGAAAUUGUUCCAUUCAUUGUCAAAGCAGCCAUUCCUCUCGGACAAGACAAAUCUUUUCCAUUUUUGUGAGAUAAGCUCUUUGUAACAGACAAUGCUAUCAAAUAACUAGACUUGUACAUCAUGCCAAAAAAUUGACAGAAUUUAAGACAUAUGCCCACAGCCAAUUGUUGGACAAAACGUCCAUACUUUACACAAAACCUAAAGGAGGCCCCAUAAAAUUUCUAUAAAUCACUAAUCCAGCAAAUGAAGUAUUCCCAACUCAAAGAACUGCAAAUAAAACUAAUAACAAUCCAAUUUCGGAGCUCUAUAUCAUCCAAUUCCAACACUUAAAAAUUAUAACGACUAACACAUGCAUAAUUACUCUAACAUUUCUAAUAUUCACAGAAGGGCACGAAGUUUUACAACUAAGCAAUCAAAAGGCAGAGUAAAAUCCCAUAAUUAAACAGUUGAAAUUUAAUAACCAAUUCCAUACUCGAAAACUGAUUGCUACUAAGAUCCAACUCCACCAAUGGGACAGGCCCCUGUAAGAGCUCCACAGGUAUAGACCCAUAAAAUUGAUUACUCCCCAACUUCAGAACUUGAAGAAUCGGCAAUGUGGCCAUUGACGGAAGCUCAGCACUGAUCCUAUUAUCACCCAAAUCCAGAGUCCUCAAAUUCCUGAACAAUUGCAUUACAUCCGCUGUGAAAAAUCCACCAGCCAAAUUGUUACCACUCAAAUUGAGAUACUGAACUGUAUUAGCCAGGCUAGAGACAUUCUGAGCACUCAAUGCCAAGGAUCCCACAAACGAAUUUCCACUCAAAUCCACAUACUCCACAUUCCUGAGAACCGAAAAUAAGAAUUCCACGCUCCCACUUAGGAAAUUUUGAUGCAAGUCCAUCACUUUCAACUGAUUCAAAUUAUAGGUACUACCGGGGUACCACCCGGUUAAAUUAUUUCGCGAUAAAUUGAGAUAAUUCAAGCCCCAGAGAUCAUUUAUCCGGUCUGGAAUCGGGCCAACGAAUUGGUUGUUUGAGAGAUCUAAAUGCUGCAGAGUAGUCAUAGUUCCGACGGCCGGGACAAGACGGCCGGUGAAGGAGUUACCAGAGAGAGUGAGGUUUUGGAGGGAUUUUAGGGGCAACAGGGUACUAAACUUGAGCUCACCGGAGAGGCCGAGGCCAGAGAGAUUAAUGGCAGUGAUGGAGUUGGAAGAAGGGUCGCACAAAACGCCGUAGAAGGAGGAGGGGCAAGUGACGUUGUUCCUGGAGCGAAUGGAUGGAUCUAAAAGGGUUUCGUUCCAUGUGGUGAAGAUUUUGUUUAAUGGGUCGAUUUUAAUUCCCUUUUUGAACUCGAGAAGUGACCGGAUUUCGUCGUCCACGACAGCAGAGCAGUGGCGAAGUUGGAGGUGGUGAAGGAGGAGGAUGAAUGUGAGUAGAAGAGAGAGAGUGUGAGUCAUUGGAGUCGAGAGAGUAAGAAAGGACGAUGUGUAUUAGGGGUGAGGCAUUUGACAGGCGAAGGCGGCUGCGGCGGAGAUGAUGGUGGUGGAAAGUGGUGUGAUGGUGCAGAGUUAGGGGCGGUGGUGGAGGUAGCGGUAGUUGGAGAGGAGGCAAAAGGGGAGGGAAGUAAGAGAAUUAGGGUUUUUAUAUUAGGGGAAGAGUGUAUGGGGGAGACUGAGUAGUGCUGUGAGAGUGUGCUGUGCUGUGCUUUGUCUUUCUGUACGUCUCUGUGUGUAGUGUGUGAGAGAGAAAGGUGGGAUUGUGUCUGUGUUAGUAUGACGUGUGUGAGAGACAGAAAGGUGAAAUUGUGAGCUAAUGGUGUGUGAGUGUGUGAUGUAGGAGGACUCUCUGCGCGUUCCAUUGAAAAUGACGCGCUGGUGUCCUUUUCAUUUCGAAAUAUUUCAAAAAUGUUUGUCAUGUUAAAAAUAUUAAAUAAUAAUUUUAUUAAUUUCUCCUUUUAACACGAUCUCAUUCCUUUAAUCAUAUGAAUAUUUUGUUAUUCAAAUUUAGAAUUUGAAUUUAUGGAGGUAAGAUUAGAAAAAAAUACAAAUAUUAUAAUCAAAAUACUAUCCUUAACAAAUUGAAUUCUUAAAACGUGACAAAAAAUUAAGACGACGAUAUACAAGGUGGUGGUUGUACCACGUAUCUUAGUGUGUGAGAAAAAGGUGUGUAUAUUGUGUGAAGUGUGUGAUAGAGAAAGGUGAGACUACGUGUCUUAGUGUAUGAGAGAAAGAUGUGUAUAUUGUGUGAAGUGUGUGAGAGAGAAAGGUGAGAUUGUGAGAGUUCUCUAUGUGGAGUGUGUGAGUCUAUGAGAGAGGGAGGAGGUAUUAUAGUCCAAAUCUGGGGUAAAGCCGGUUUUCAAUUACACAAUAACCCAAAUUAUGACAUAUCACUUUGUGAGACGGUGUUAUUCAAUCUAAGCCAUUGGAUCUUUAAAAGUAGGAUCCACCCAAGUGCGAGCCGGUAUUAUAUGGGUCUAACAUAUAUUGAUUCAUUACAGAGGUGAUUAAAACAAGGAUAAUAUCAGAAAACCUCCCUGAGUUUUCUCUUAGUAGCAUUUAGCACCUUUGAGAUUUUGAAAAUCCCUAGAUUUUGAUUUGAUUUUUAUACUGAUUUAUUACAACUUAAAGGUUUAGGUCAUGGCUUGAGAAGUUGUUGGAAAAAAUAUAGGAUUCAUAAAAAAUUGAUGUUGAUCAUAUAAAGAAUAUUUUGUGUUUUUCAAAUUUAUAUUUUUAGCAAAUAUGACUUUGUGACGUGAUGGUAGUACUUAAGACUGUUUUUUAGAUGGUGAUUUUAAUAGAUUAAACAAAGUCACUUAAGAAUAUUUUUGUUUAGCAAAAGGGUAGUUUAGGAUUUUUUGCAAAUAGCAAAUGUAAGGGAGAUAAGUGAUGUUUUUAAAACCGAAGAGGUAUUAAGUGAUAUUAAGAGAAACAUUAGGAGAAGUUUCUAAUAUUAUCCUUUAAAACAAAGAAAAUCAACAGAGUUUAAUUCAACUAGUAAGGUUCCUUCAUCUUAUAUAAGGGAAAUUUUAGUUCAAAUUAAAGUUGUGAUGCAAAUAGUCUCUUGUUUACAGGUAAUCUAUAAGAAUCACGAUAUUAUUGAAAAACAUGUUAAUGUGCUACCUUAGCAUUAGAAUUGGGAAAUUUUCCACUACUAAACUUUUUCUUAUCAAAAAUUAAAACUAAGAAAAAUAACAGAAUAAAAAAGCUCAUGGGAAAAAAAUAAUUUUCCUACCAAUCUAGCUAGCUUAUUUGCUACACUAGAAAAUAUCAUAAGAAAUGUUGAUAAGAAUGUAAAGGAGGCAGUCUAAAAAAUAAUUCUACCCAAAAACAAGUUUUAAUUUUUUUUUAAAGAUUUUAAUUAGCUAGUAAGAACUAAUGUAUUGCCUUUUAGAGUUUUAGGAAGUUUAGGGAUUUCUUUGUCAGGAGUGAGUACAAGAAAUAAAUGUUUAGCCAGACGAAAAUCAAGAAAUGAGUUCUUGUUAACAAGAUGAAAAAAGUCUCAAAAGCUCCCACACAAAAACUAUUAAUUGUUUGGAUAUUGAAAUUAUUCCAAAUAUUAUUUCGCUUGCAUCAUAAAUAUAUUUUUCAAUCCACUUUUUUAUAUUUCUAACCACCUUUUUAUCUUACAUACAUCACAUUAUAAAAAGUGUUAUAGUUAUUAUUUCAAAUAAUACUCUAUCCAAACAACCUAAUUCUAAUAUCCAUAUUAGGUAUUUUUUAAUUUUUAAUUUUUUAAAAUAUUAUGUUCUCCUCUAUCCAUAUAGGUAUGUAACUUUGUAUAUCUCUGUCUAAUAUUUUCUUAUACAAUGUGAGCUAUGUACAUAAAGAACCCAAGUAGAGAAAAAGGAAAAAAAAAGUGAAUCAUAUAAAUUUAAAAAAAAGGAGGCUUGGGAGAUGGAGAGGGAUGAGCAAGUUGGUUGGUAUAAGGCUGUUACAUAACUACAAUCUGUAAAGGACAGCACAAAAACUGACUCAAGGCCCUACUAGGCACUCACAUGCCUUUUAACCAAUACCUUAAUGGGGUCAAUUUAUUUAUGAUUUUUAUUUGUUGUUUUUUCUCCUUAUCUUUUAGUCAAAAUUUUCUUUUAUGGUUCAUUAACUUUGGAAGUAUUGUAUAUAAAGUACUUUAUAUAAAGUGGGAAUGGAGCUUGGGUUCUUCCUGGUCUUUCGUCCUCCAACUCCUGUGCAAAUCACGUGGCCUGCAUCCCAUUCUUUCUCUUAAAGUUUGUUGCUGCCUUUUUUGUCCUCCGUCAUCAUGCACUAUUAGUCAUCCGUCAUCAUGCAGUAUCUAUCUUCUAUUUUUUCCCCCUCAAUUCAGAUUGGUUACUAACCAUUAUUUGCUUCUUUUUAUUACCCCUGCUGUUUUUAUUACCCCUUCUUUUAUUAUAUAUAUACCUAUACUCUAUUUAGUCUUUUUUGCUCUAAAUUCUUAUCCCUAUAUUAUUUCGGUAUCUAGUAUUUGCUUCUUUUUUAUAUAGUGCCCAUGGUUUUUUUCUCUCCUCCUUUCAAAUAAAUAUUUGGUACAUUUUUUAAACAAUUUUUUCUUUAUCCCAUAUUUAAUAUUACUUGCUCUGUUGUUAUUUCUACCUGACUAUCUUUUUCCCCUUUUGCUCAAAUCUUUUUUUCUUCUUAUUCUCUAUUUAACAUUCUACACUUUUUUCCAUAUUAUUAUAUUGUAUAUGACAUACGUAUCUUCUAUUUAGUCUAUAUUUUUUUUUCUCAAUUCUUUUCAGUAUAUUUUUUCGCUAUCCAAUAUUUGCUUCUUUUUUAUAUACUACCCAUGCUUUUUCCCUUUUUCUCUCCUCCUUUGAAAUCAAUAUUUAGUCCAGCUUUUUUUCCUUAUUAUACUGCUAAUACAAAUGCUGGAUUAGUAUACCAACUAAGCAGACCAUUAAUAAUCGCGCCAUUAAAAGCAGACGCCUUCCUGUUCUCUACCAUUGGUCAGCGGAUUCCCCUCUCAGCAUACGCAGCCAACAAUCCAUUAAUUUUUAUCGGCUCCAUGCAAAAAAAUGCACGUCUUCGGCCAUGCUUUCCCGGGUUCCGGUGCAUGCAAGAGAAGCCAGGUAAUCAUUUCAGCUUCUUUCCCUUGCAUUUCAACUUCCUUUUCUUCUUCCUUUACUUCAUUUUGUUCCUUGCUUCCACUUCUUCUUACUCGCGCUUUUCUUCUCCUCUGUUUCCUCCUACGCCUUUCUUCAAUCAGUGUUCCUGCUAUUUUUCUGCUGCUCGCUGUUACAUCUGCUGUAAGUGCUGCUCCAGUUUCACUGUCCCUAAUCCUGUACUAAUCUUUAUGUUUUUUCCUUUUGUUUUACUUUUUCCCCCCCAAUUCCUUCUACUUAUCCUGCUAAUCCUGCUUACAGCUUUAUUCUGCCUGUCCAUGCUAUUAUUAUUCGUCUUGCAUUUUUUUAACUGCUGUACACUUCUGUUUGUUCUAACGUUUUCACUUUCAUUGCAUUUUUUCCCUCUUAUUUUUUAGCUCACGGCUUAACUUUAGCUGCUACCCACCAUUUUUUGCCCUCUGUUCCUUUUUUUGGUGUCGGCUUCGUGCUCGUACAUUGUGUCUGCACUCUAUCCAUCGUUUGCUUUCUUGGUCAUGUUCGUUUUUCCUUUUUUUGUUAUUGCUUCUACGCUUUGCACUGUUGUGAUGCUUAUUGCUUUUUCCCCUGUCCACUCUUAAACCUCCCAGAUUUUGCCGUCUGCAACCUGCUACUGCUUUCCCUUGUUUCAGCGGAUAAGGUACUUACCAUUCUUCCUGUAGUCCAGUCACUGUCCUUGCUAAUCCAUUAAUCUCUGUGCUUCUCCUUUUAUCGACCAAUGAUUUGCUACUUUUCCCUCCAUUUUUUUAUAUGCCCCGUUAUCUUCUUUUCCUUUUACUUCCUGUCUAAUGUACCUACUCUGCGGUUGGAAAUGCCUGUAAACCAUUCAUGUAGUUCUCUCGCCUGUCUCGUAUCAUAUUGCAUCAUGGAUAGAAAUGCGAAACGCCGAAAACGUUAUGCAGAAAUGCCCCCAGAAAGAAAGGAGGAGCUUUUACGCUGCCAACGGGCAGCUAGCGCGUGUCGUUACGCACAAAUGCCACAGGAAAAAAAGGAUGAUCUUUUACGCCGUCGCAGGGAGGCAAAUGCUUCAAAGAAGAAAAACAUUCCCCCUUCUGUCUCUGAUUCUGUGCCAAACUCCGGCAUUUCUAACAGAAAACGUCCAGCUUCCACUCCUCAAACUCCAUUAGCUCCUGCAGGAACAGUCCUUAGCAUUCCUGUUACUUCUGUGCACUCUGCUUCUAAUCAGAGUACUGAUCUUCUGAGCAGUGAUGCGUUAGCAGGUGGAACUCCAUAUUCUUUAGGAGUUCAGUCAGAAAACGUGUUACCAGGUGUUGAACUAACGCACCUUCUCAGCUCUACAGUUGCUCCAUUGGAAAGUGACCAGCAUGCUUCCUCUUCUGUUGCCGCAAGUUCCAUUCCGUCUGGUUUUCGACAAGGUAGCACUUAACUUUAGUUUUCAGCUUUGCGGCCUUAGUGCCCUUUUCUCAUUGUUUAUUCCUAUUUCUCUCUGCCAUUUGCUAUUGCAGAUUGAACCGUUAAGCUUCUUCUUUUUCCCUCCUGCUUUGUUUUUAAAAAACGCCUCCUGAUUGUCUAUCUGCCUGUUUUCCCUUCGUCAUCUGCAUUCGUUUUGUUCAUCCCUUAUAAUUGUAAUUGUCUUGCUAGAUUCGCAUUACUCCCUUCGCCAUCCUAAUUGUCUUGCUUUCUCCCUUAGCUACAAGCUGUCCCCAUCUUCUUACUUUUAAAAAAAUAUCUUACCUUGUUUUCACUCACAGGGAAUGCAGCUUGCUGUGACAUUGUCACGGUAUGCUCCUGUGUCUACAAAAAACCUGCAGCUCAGUUUGCAGUCUAAUUGUGUCCAUUUAAAUCUCUUAUUAUUGCCUUUUCACCUUUAGUUCUUGUCCAGCGUAUCCAUAAAACAGAGACAUCAAAACUCUGCCCUUUGUUCCAGGUCAGCCGCGAAUAUCUAGGAAACCUAUUCUCCCUCGCUUAGCCAGGAUUCCAGAUCAUUCUUUGAUUCUCCCUGAUUCUCCGAAUUGCCAGUAUUGUGGAGCUAUACGGUUCCAUUUAGAACCUCCUAAUUUCUGCUGUUCAAGGGGGGAAGUUUCACUGGUCACUGCAGCAAUGCCUUAUGAUCUUCGUCGCCUCUUUAUUGGCGAUGAUGAAGAAUGUGACCAUUUCAGGAAAAAUGCUCGUACGUACAACAACAAUGUUUCUUUCACUACUUUUGCUGCAAAGUAUGAUCCAGAAUUGACGAAGAAUAAGCAUGGUGUUUAUACGUUUCGUGUACAAGGCCAGGUUUAUCACUUCCUCGAUGGUUUGGUAUCACAUCGUCAUAAACCAUCGGGUAUUCAGUUAUACUUUUUUGAUACCGAUGAGGAGCUUGCCAGGAGACUUGAUGCUUCCUCUCGGCUCCGCGCAGACACUCUUAAAUUGCUUAUGCGCAUUUUAGCUGCCAAUCCCUAUGCCAAAUUUUUUAAAGAUUUGCGUCAUGUUCCUGAUCUCGAGCGCCAUAGAAUUGUUCUUAAUUGCAAUCCUGCUCUUGAUCAGCGUUUGUAUAAUCUUCCAUCCGCUUCUCAAGUAGCCGCUAUAUGGACCGAGACUGAUGAUGAAUCAGUUGAUAAGUCAGUUCAUAUUCAGGUUUAUAGUCACUCCGAUCAGAGUCAUAUGAUUAAGCAUUACUAUGCUUGCUAUGACUCUUUACAGUAUCAUUUAUUAUUUCCUCGUGGUGAGUCUGGAUGGCACCAUGGAAUCCAAAGGAUUACGUGCGAAAAUAGGAAAAGAUCCCGUCCUGUUUGUGAAGCUGAUAUUGCUAUUGAUCCAGCAUCUAUCGGUAGUCCAUCUGAUUUGAUUAAUCUGGAACAAAGAGGCAAGUAUAAACUUAGUUUCUUAGAGGCAUGGUCAUAUUUUUCAAACAUAUUGUCUAUUUCUCCAUGUUGUUAAUACGUAGUUCCAUUUUGUUUCAGCCGCUGAUCGUGGCAAGAAACAGAAAACUAACGUCACUGCUAGGGAAUACUAAUGUUAUAGGUUUCAAAUGAGACAUGAUGAUGAGUCCAUGUUGUUACAUGCGCUGAGAUUGUUGCAGCAGUAUGUUGUUGAUAUCUACGUUAAGAUAGAGACAUCUAGGCUUGAAUUCCACCGGAAAAAACAGAAUACCAUACGGACUGAAGCUCUUCAAGGAAUAAUGGAUAGUGUCUCUUUAGGCCAAACGUUAGGUUCUAAAGUUGGCCGGCGAAUAUAUUUACCAGCUACUUUUCUCGGAGGCCCGCGGGAUAUGAGGCGUAGAUAUCUUGAUGCAAUGGCUCUGGUCCAGAAAUAUGGAAAACCUGACAUUUUCUUGACCAUGACAUGCAAUCCCCUGUGGCCAGAAAUUAAGGCACAUUUAAAGUACAAAGAGAAACCUCAGGACAGGCCUGAUCUUUUAGCUAGAGUGUUCAGGGCAAAGUUUGAAAUCCUGAAAACAGAGUUGGUUACAAAGAAAUUAUUUGGAGACGUUGCAGCAUAUGUUUAUGUUAUUGAAUUCCAAAAAAGAGGCUUCCCUCAUGCUCACCUACUGCUUAUAUUGAAACCGCAGUUUAAACCUCUUAAUCCAGAGGCCUAUGAUAAAAUUGUUUCUGCUGAACUGCCUGAUCGUCAAGAACAUCCUCAUCUUUAUUCUCUAGUUGUAAGGCACAUGAUUCACGGCCCUUGUGGAAAAAUGAACAAAAACAGCCCUUGUAUGAAAAACGGUGUUUGCAAAAGUCACUAUCCAAAAGGGUAUUCUGAACAUACGACUCACGGCGAGGAUAGCUAUCCGAAUUAUCGUAGGCGAGACGAUGGCAAGAAAAUCCGAGUCAAAGGCUAUGAUUUGGAUAAUAGGUGGGUCAUCCCGUAUACUCCGUACUUGCUAGCUCUGAUUGAUUGUCACAUCAAUGUUGAAAUCUGUUCAACCAUCAAAUUAGUCAAGUAUUUAUACAAAUACAUAUUUAAAGGCCAUGACCUUGUCAACUUCCACAUCAUAGCUGAUGAAACACCUCAGGAUAUCGAUGAGAUCAAGGAAUUUCAGCGAGGUCGUUGGGUUUCUCCUCCAGAAGCUUUGUGGCGGAUUUAUGCAUUUCGCUUGAAUGAAAUGACCCCUGCUGUUUACAGUCUUCAGGUUCAUCUUCCUGGUCACCAAUAUGUUUCCUUCAAUCAGGAUUCUGAUCUUUCACAACUCUUAGAGAAAAUUGACUUCUCCAGAACUAUGUUAACUGAGUUCUUUAGAAUGAACCGUGUAAACAAAAAAGCUCAGAGCCUCAGAUGUUUGUAUAGAGAUUUUGCUCAGCACUUUGUGUGGACACCUGCUACGAGAAAGUGGACAGAAAGAAGUAAGCAUAAGGUUAUUGGCAGGUUAGUCACUGUCAAACCAAGCGAAGGGGAUAGGUAUUAUUUAAGACUUUUUCUCUCACAUGUUCGCGCUCCUACAUCCUUUGAUGACUUGUUGACAGUUAAUGGAUGUAAAAUGAAUUCGUUUAGAGAGGCUGCUUUAGAGCUUGGCCUCUUAGAAUCUGAUUCCUAUAUUGAGGCAACACUUGAAGAAGCUGCUGGUUUUCAGAUGCCUUUUUCGCUUAGAUUUUUAUUUGCUACUUUGCUUUUGCAUUGUGCUGCAACAAAUCCAAGUCUUUUGUGGGAAAAAUUUGAAAUGGAGAUUUCUAGAGACUUCGCACGAGCGCAGGUACAGACUCAUUGUUCAGCUGCUGAAGUAAGGCGGAAAGUUCUGUUUGAUAUUAACAAAUCGCUCCAGCAUAUGGGGAGGCAUAUCAGUGAGUAUAAGUUGGUUACAGAUUCUAUUACUCUCAGCUGUCAUGAAAGCAUGACCAAGGAAGUAGACAGUGAAAUGAAUAUUGUGGUGUCGUCGGAAGAUCUCUUGAUAGCUUCUAAGUUAAAUGCAGAGCAAAAACAUGCUUAUGAUUUGAUAUUGCAGUCUGUUUUUUCGUCCAAAGGCCAGAGUUUUUUCAUUGAUGGUCCAGGGGGGACCGGAAAAACGUUUUUGUAUCGCUCUCUUCUUGCGACACUUAGAUCGCAGGGAUAUAUUGCGAUAGCUGUAGCAACUUCAGGAGUUGCAGCAUCACUUCUUCCUGGAGGAAGGACUGCUCACUCCAGAUUUAAAAUUCCGUUGGACUUUUCCAGAAAUAAAACGUGUCAGUUGAGCAAGCAGAGCAGCAUGGCACAGUUAAUCAUUGAAUGUAAGUUAUUCUUGUGGGAUGAAGCAUCAAUGGCAAAAAGAGACACUAUUCAAGCAUUUGACGAAUUGUUGAAAGAUCUAAUGGAGACUAGCGAUCCUUUUGGAGGUAAAGUUGUAGUUUUUGGGGGCGAUUUUCGCCAAACUCUCCCCGUUAUUCAAGGAGCUACCAAGGACCAGCUAAUUCAGGCUAGCCUCCUGCAUUCUUCAUUAUGGUCUUGUAUGCACAAAAUAAAGCUAAAACACAACAUGAGGGCUGUCUUAGAUCCUGCCUUUUCGCGAUUCUUGCUCGCUGUUGGGGAAGGUGCAGAACCUGUUGAUGCAGAUAACCAGAUUUGCUUACCAGGUCAUAUGGUUAUACCAUUCCACAAUAUAAAAGAUUCUUUAGACAGGUCCUCUCCAUUUCCUGUGCUUCAUCGCGCAUUCCUGUCCUUUUUCAUCUGUAUUACUUCGUUUAUCUUUCACAGAUUUCUAACAAAAAAAAAUUUCGCCCAGGCUGAUAGCUUACACGUUUCCAGAUUUGAAUCUCUACUCAUCUAAUCCGUAUGAGAUGAUCAGUAGAUGUAUUUUAACCCCAAAAAACACCUCUGUUGAAGACAUCAAUGAAAUGAUGAUUCAGAGGUUUCCUGGACAGCUUUUUACUUAUACAAGCUCUGACCAAACUGUUGAUCAGAGAUUCCAGGCAGAUUAUGAGGACUUUUUGAAUUCUCAAAAUCCAAAGGGUCUUCCUCCACACAAGCUCAUGCUAAAAGAAAGUUGUCCCUUAAUCUUGCUCAGAAAUCUAAAUCCAGCUGAAGGAUUGUGCAAUGGCACAAGACUUAUUUGUCGGCAGCUAAGACGGCACACUAUCUGUGCUGAGAUAGCUUUUGGUCAGUAUAAAGGGAAAAAGAUUUUCAUUCCCAGAAUCCCAUUGCAGACACCUGAUAAUGAAAAAAAUGGGAUUCCAUUCAUCAGAAGACAAUUUCCAGUUCGCCUUUGUUUUGCAAUGACAAUUAACAAGGCUCAAGGCCAAACUCUUGACUAUGUUGGUGUAUAUCUAAAGGAGCCCGUAUUUUCUCAUGGCCAACUAUACGUUGCCUUGUCCAGAGCAAAGACUGCUGAUGCAGUUAAAGUCCUCAUACUUCCAGGAACUUUUGCUGAAAUCAAAACUGACUGCAAAACAAGAAAUAUUGUGUUUGAUGAAAUAUUGCAGUUGUCUAAUUGAUCACUUGCACUGUUCGUAGGUAGCUUGCACAUUUAAAUGUUUUUAGCUUUUGUUUUCAGAACUUAUACUUUGAUUUUACCUUCCAAACUGAAAUCCCUUGCUUAUUUACUCUUAUUAUUGCUAACGAGUGCAGGAUGUGCACUAUAUUAUCUAUCAAUGAUGUUGAGGUCGGUAUGGAGAAAUGGACAGCAAAGGUCACUGUCCAGGAGAAACAGCAAGUUACCUCAUCACUUAGCACACCAACUAGGAAACAGAAGUUUAUCUUCAUUGAUUCUGAGGUAUUCAGUGCACUUGACCUUCUAUUCUCAAAAUCUUAUGUGAUAAACUUAGGACUUUAAACGCUGCUCAUUUGUCGACCAUCAUAAUAUUUCUUUUCCAGGGAUCAAAGGUUGAAGGCAUCAUAUUUAAUGCUGAUAUUGCUAUAAUGAGCCCUAGAAUAGAGGUUUACAAAAAAUACCUCAUCUCCAAUGCUCAGGUCAAAAGAAUCCCUGAAAACUUUAGAACCACUGAGCUAGCAGUCCAAUGGAUAAUCACCAGUCGAACAAUUAUUGAAGAGAUUGUAGACAAUGAGGAUGUUAUGGCUGCAAAGUUUACGUAUACAAACUUUACGGACUUGGCACAGUACAUGGACCGCAAGGACAUUUCUGUUGGUCAGUAGCUUUCUUUUUAACCAUACUGAUGUACCUUGGUUAUUAUAUGCUUUAAGUCUUAUUUUUUGAAUUCCUCUCACUAGAUAUUAUGGGAAUUGUUAUUGCUGCUUUGGAUGAAAAAACUGUCACCGUAAAUUCAAAGGAAGCACAAGUCCAAAAACUAGUUCUUGUUAAUGAAGAGUAAGGAAUCUUUGCUUUUGUAUACAAUGACUAUCUGGUGUUGCAGAUUGCAGCCUUUUCCAAACAAAAAAAUUAAUAGUUUCUCUGUUUCAAAUAUGUCAGAUUGCAGACACUUAUGCUGUCUAUGUGGAAUGCUUUUAUUGACAAUGAAGGCUCCAAGAUUAUUUCGGAAAUUCAGAACUAUCCUGUUCUUAUUGGAAGAAGGCUAAAGGUUCAAAAUUAUAAUGGUGAGUAUAACAGUUGCCGGUUACAUGUUUUGCCAUCUAACCUUUUCCAUCUGUUCAUUUUUUCAAAUCACAUGUUGCUUCCCCUUUUCUUUUUUUAAGGAGUGGCUCUUUCUACUUGGUUUGAUUCAGCAAUUCUUGUGAAUCCACCUGUCCAAGAAGCAAGGGAACUCAAGAACUGGUUCUGCUCUUAUAGUUUUCAGUAUUUGUUGCUUAUGGACUUUAUAUACAUUAUCUGUUUCUUGACAAUCAGAGAUACUUACGAGCUGGUGCCACUCUUUUAUUUUUCAACCUCGAGUACGCAAUAAAAAAAUGCUCUUUUCCCUGCUUGCCUUACCAUUUUAAUAACCUAUACACAGGGCAAGUAGAAAUGCCAAAUGCCUUGCAGACAUUGUUGCAAAGAGAACAUACAGUCGAUACAAUCCUGAUCUCUCUUUCCAAGCAGAUCAAAAAAUUACUGAUAUAUCAAAUAUCAGCUCAAAACACAAGGUACUGUCUUGAUUGCAGCAUUAUCAGUGGAUUUCAGCCUUCAAAUAGUUUGACUAAUUCAUAUACUAGCUUUAUUCUCAGAAUGUGUGGGUGAAAGCAUCAUUCUCAUUUGAUCACAUUUUUCAAAAAUUUUGGUACAUGGGGUGUGAAAAUUGCUUCCGCUCCACGUCUGCUGACUAUGGUGUCUUGUUCAUGUGUAAUACUUGUAAACAAAAGCACAAGUCUGAACCAAGGUCUGACCAUCAUUACUUUAUUUGUUUCUUAUCAUUUCUUCUGCUACUGCUCAUUACAUUAUCAUUUCUUUUCCUCUGUUGUGCCUUAUAUAAAACUUGCAUAUUUAAUAGGUGUAAAUUUGAUGUUGACCUCUCUGAUGACACCGGAACAGUCACAGCCACAAUGUUUGGCGAUUUAGCUGAGAAACUGCUAACGUUCACAGCAAAAGAAGCAAUGGAGCAUUAUUUUCAGGUUUACUCUUACCAUGCCGCGUCAGCACAUAUGUAUGUGUAUUUAUGUAUAUGUAUAUAAAUUCUUUUGUUUUGUCCACUGCAGAAUAUGGUGUUACCACUUGAGGUUCUGCAUGAAGACCUAAAAUCCAAGAAAUUCCUUGCGUACAUUAGACCUGUACAGGUUCCCUUGGCUGAUGCAAAACAACGUUUCACAAUGGUAUACUACAAGGAAGCUUCUGAUGAACAAGUUUCUGUUACAGGCUCCAGUGAACAGGCCUUUACUUGUCCUUCAUCAGGUUAUAGCCUUUACUUAAUCAUCUUUGUUUCACAUGUGCAUGAAUAGACCUAUUUGUUUUUCUAUAGAAGAGGCAUCUUACUGAAUCAGGUAUGGUUACUACUUUUCAGCAGGCGGAACGUCUUCUUCAAAAGCUAAAGUUUGUCUUCUUCAAAAAUUUGACGAGUCAGAUGAGCAGAGGCAAUUAAGCUCUGAAGCUCUUCAGACCAGCCCCAAGAAAAAAGCUAGACAAGCUUAGAAUUGUUUCCUUUCCAAGCAAACUAUCUUUUUUCCUGCGUUGGCUCCUAGGUGCCUUUUUGUGUGGUGAAGGACACCAAGUCUCAACAUUUUUAAGACCACUAUCAUGCUACUGAUAUGCCUUGCAAAUGCUCAGGGAUUUUCAUGAUUCUGAACUUUGUAUUUCUACACACUCUUACGUUUUGCCUGUUAAUUUGCAUGCCUUUUGCAACUUAAUUUGAAAACGCCAUAAUCUAUAAUGUUACCACAUCAAGUACAAUAAUCGCUAUAAUCAUCCUGUACCAUUCAUUUUGUUUGGAAUUAGCAUUGACUGCCAGCAGCAAAGAACGUUCCACUCUCCAGUGCAUUUAUCAAAGCUUUUACCUUUCCAAUUCAUUCCUUCUGGAACAAUGUGCGAUGACUUAACUGUUGCCUUCAAACAUCAAACCACGCUGCAUCUUUCCAAGACUGCCUUUUCUGCAUCCAUUACUGAUCCUACAGCUAUUAGUUCAGCCACUUUAAAUAAAUUCACUGGUUACCAGAUACUCUUACAGGCCAAUUAAUGCUAUCUGUUCAUGUUAUGAAGGCCCUAUAUAUAUAUUUGCCAAGAACAACCUUCUAAAAUAUUCAGCCUCAAAAGCUAAUUACACUUAUAACAACCAAGUAUGGAGUUCUCUGAAAGCGUUGAAUCCUCCAGUCUUCCGCCAAAUAUUACCGGCAGCAUGGAAUGCUGCUUCUUCUUUAGGAGUAGCGGUUCUAAGCAGGUACUUUUGAUUCUGUAUAGUUUUUUUCCUCAUGACAUGUGCCUUCUUUAACGAUAACCAAAGUUUUUCAAAAUAAUUAGAUAUUCCCUGCUCAAUUUCUGCUGCUUCUAAGAAACCAUCAACAGCGUACAAUAACUAUUCGAGAAGGCUAUAGAACAUGGACUAUCAGCAUUUUAGAAACUUGGUUUGGAGAAGGUUGGCAAGACUUCUGCGAGAAUAAUAUCAUCCAUGAAGACGACACAAUGUUCCUUCGACAUUCCGGAAACUUGGUGUUCGACGUCCUCCAUUACUCAGCAACAAAAACGCAUGGCUACUUACCUUGGAGUCAUCCACUACCUAGUUUGUUGGAUGCUCCAGAACAUGUUAUCGCAAAAAGUUAGUUUUCUCAUGCUUAAACACUUCCAAAUUUUUAGCAUUGUCCUUGUUUAAUUUGCUAGCUUUGUACGCUUACCUUUUUUAUGAAACACAGAACAAAGAAUGCAUUGUCAGAGAGUAGCAUCAGCAAUGAAACCAGAUUUCGUUCAAGACAUCGCUGAUGGUCUAUCAUUCUAUGAGAUCUUCACUCAGGAAAACCAACAUAAUUUUGUAAGCUUCAGUUAUCUCUUGUUUUAUUUUUUCAUUCGCUGCUUUCUUUCCCACUAAUAACUUUUUCCUUUUGGUGAACAACAGAAAGUGCCCAAAUUUGUAUCCUUCUUCAUACACGGUGACAGAACUCCUCUGGUCACCCUACGAACUGGAAACAAGACAAUCACUGUUGGAAUGCGUCGGAGACGGUUUGCAACAAAUUGGAACACAUUUGCUUUUGAGCAUCAGCUACAAUUUGGCGACGCUUUAGUAUUUAUCCCUGAAACAAAGUCCUGCUAUACUGUCCUCAUCUUCGACAAGCGUGGAGUCGAAAAGUUGUUCCCCUGGUACAAUAAGUUCUGCAUCUUCUCUGAUGCACCAACCAGUAAAACUUAGCCAACUUCUUUUACGUUUAUUCCAGGAGAAACCUUGUCCUUCUUAUAUGUUCACUAAGCAUGUGAAUGCCAGCUUCUAUUGUCUUUUAUUUUUUCCAUAGGGAAUUUACCUUUGCAGUACGCAGAUUUAUUCCAACCAUUCAGGGAAUUGCAGCCAAAUUAAUGUUCUUUAAUUCUAUCAAAUACAGGAAAUUAUUUUGCCUGCAUGGAGUUAUCUCUUCACUUUAAAUGGCUACAAUUUUUUAUAAACUUGUUGCACUAACAGUGGGACAAAUAUUUAAGUUUAUUAUAUUCUACUUUAAUUAUCCCCUUUUUAACUAAUGCCAGGUUCUCCAUUUCCUUAAUUUAUAAUUGCAUUCCGCUGCUCACCAAAUCCCACGUAAGAUGGCAACAAAUAAAUUUCUGCUAGCCUUUGGAUUCUUGAUUUAGAUGGCUGUGUCAUUUGAAUUAAUGGUUAGUGUAUCCUUUUUUCCAUCUUUUUAAUUAUCUCCCCUACACCACCUAAUUUUUACUCAACAUACUACAAAUACAAAUUACAGUACUUUAUUAAAUUCAUGCUCUGUAACGCUCCUCCUGGGCAUUACAUUAAUUCUUUACCGUGCGCAAGCACGGUAUAUUUCUGCUAGUUAUACAAAAAGGUGCAGGUUGACUUGACCAAUUUGGAGUGCAAUAAUUUUAUUUUUCUACAGUAGAUGUCUUUGUAAGGGGACCUGGGCUAUUGGUAGUGACCCUUUUUAUGCUUUUUUUUUUUCAUAAUUGGACAAUUUGGAAGAUUCCUUCUGAUUUGGACCUCUGAAUAUUUACAAAGUGUGACAGUAAAAUAAGAAGUAUUUCUUGUCCAAGCUUGCAAAGGUAUCUUUAGAAUUUUGAUUCUCAAUAUGCCUCUUGUCAUGUUUUGACCCAUUGAAUUGCUUUCGUGUCACCAAAUGGGAGAGGAGAUGAUAUAAAAUUUAGAGCCAAUUUAACGGUGCUCGUUAAAAUAUAUUUCAGGUAUUAUAUUUUUUUAAAUUGUAAGAUUAAUUAGAAAAAAUAAAUAAAUACAAAAGAGAGCCGGUAAGAUUAGACAAGAAAGCAUAUAAAUGCAAGAGAGGAUAAUAAUUGUUAGUAUAUUUAUAUGCUGAUAGGUUAAGUAAAUUUUAAAUGUGUUAAUGAAUGCCGAAUGGACAACCAUUAGAAAAAUCCUAAAAAUUAUAUCAAAAUCCACUAGAAUUCAUACAUUCAAUAAGUUCCUUUUGGACAAUGUCAUGAAUAUUUUAGUACAAGGAAAAAUGUGCAAAGACAUUUUAUUUGCUCAUUUUCCCUUUUGAAAGAUGUAAGUAAUUUUCAAUUGACAUCUUUUUUUUUUUUUGGGUAAAACUUGAAAGAAUUUUAAACAAAAAUCUAAAACAAAGUUUUUAUUUUCUUGAUUAAGGUUCAACUUUCAGCCUCAGGUGGGUGAUUGAAGUAACUAAUAAAGAACAAAUCUAUAUUAGGGUGUUUGACCGUUGGUACAACAUAACUCUAUGAUUAACAUACAAAAUUCUCUCUAAUUUCUAUAGCUAACUAGUUUUGUACCCAUUCGUUGAACGGGAAUCGUCGAAAAAUAAUAAACUUUAGUCAAUUUAUAAAAAUGUCGAUAUAAAAUACAUAUUUAAUGUAUAAUCUAUUAUAACUUGUCUUAAGUAUAUUACUAUGUGCGCAUUGUAAUGUAAAGUAUUUUUAUAAUAUAAAUUUGAACAUCUAAUUCAGUGAAUAAUAAUUCAAAAAUAGAAAAAAUAACAUUCAACAAUACCAUAACAUUCAAAAACUUGAAAAUAAAUAAAAAGUGCAGUAAAUAGUAUCAAAUAAUAUUCUACUAUUCAAAAACUUGUUUUUAUUUUUUUCUGUUUGAACAUUCUCCUCGAUUUGUCUGUGCAAAUCAGCAUUUAUUGAUUUUCUAUUAUCAUUGCAUGAUAGCAAAAUAGGAUAACUAAGUAUAAAAAAAUAAAUGAUUUAUCGUAUUCAAGUUUGUGUAUAACAAUACGUAAAGAUUAUAAUUAAGUAAACGACCAGACUCUUUUAAUUAACUAAUGAACUUGCAGAUAUAUCUAAUAGAGAUAUUUAUAUCUCUUGUAUUUAUAUCGCAUUACUUUCCAGUGCCUUUUGUUUUUGGUUGUUUUUCCUGAAGGCAAAUUAACAAACAUCGUAGUAUAUGAUCAUAAAAAUCAAUUAACAAACAUUUUAUCAUUUAUUCCUAUAAAAAUAUAUUAUCAUUUAUUCCUAUAUAUCUAAUAGAGGAGAUUUAUGUCUCUUUUAUUUAUAUCGCAUUACUUUCCAGUUCCUUUUUUGGGUAGGAAAUAAGAAUCAUAUAAUAUUAAGAAUUUUUAUAGAAAAUAAGAAUUGAUAUAUAUCUAAACAAAAAAGGAGCAAACCACGUAGGAAACUACUUACCGUCUCGUUAAGCCACGUAGGAAAGAGAAAAUAUAAAGGGAUAAGUAUGAGGGUACGACUUUAUUAUAUAUAUAUAUAUAUAUAUAUAUAUAUAUAUAUAUAUGAUAUAGACAAUCUGUAUACUUUCCAUCUUUUCUAGUCAAGCUAAAUACAAUGUGAUUUAAGCCAAAAAAAAAAAUAGAAGAUUUUUUUGGCAUAAUAUUGUUACUCGAGUUGUAUUUAAAAGUUAUUUUUGACAAAUUCUAUGUGAUUUGAGUCAAAACCAAUGAGAGAUUUUAAAUAAUCCACAUAAUUUGGCAAAGCACCAUCUUGAGUUACAAUGGAAGAAUUUAAACUUCACAUUUACUCCCACUAUUAGAAUGUUCUCUUCUCUGAAUCUGAUUCCUUUAUUAGCAGAAUCAACUAAUAACGUAGAAUUUAUUUGUGGCCUAUGUAUGGGAUAGUAUCACUUAUACUACUUAUAAGUCUAAAAUAUCAUAAGGGCAAAAUUUUCCUCCAAUGCCACAUAUUUUACUUUUUUAUUACAAACUUUCUGCUAAUCAACUUUAAAAUAGACCACUCAACUUUUACAACUUUCAAUUUUGUAGAAUAUUUGACGGCCAUUUCGACCUAUUAUUUUUUUUUUUCACUAAGUACUCUUUUAUUAAUCGUGCCUACGUACAAAAAUUAUGUUAAUGAAAUGAAAGGGCAAGAAGAUGCCCAUUGGCAAACCGGUGAUUUGGGCUUUGUCAAAUGCCAAAACUUUAGGUGGAAAAUUUCUAAUUUAAAGGUGCCAAAAUUCUAUGGAAAGAUGCCAGUGGUUAAGUUUGCAAGAUAGAAGAAAUUUUGGGGUGCAAUUCUGAAAUUCUGAGAAUGAGAGUACUGAUUUGUUCGGGGUGGUAAAAAAGAAACAAAAUAAAUUUCAAAAUUCAUGCCAGCAUAUUUUAGCUCGAAUCAAGCUCCGGUGGUGGUAUACCAUCCGAACUUGACCAGAAAACUAUUUAACUUUCGCAGACAAACUCCAACUUCAAUAACUUUUGAGGAUAAACCACGAAUAUGUUUAAGUCAAAUUAGUAAUAGCCAAAUCCAAUUAUCUAAGGCAUUCCAUAUUAAUUUGCAUACUACUUGUAUGUAGUAUUGGGUUAGUUCAAUAACUCUUGAACAUAAACUGCGAAUACAAAGUAUAAUUUUUUUUUAAUCUAUUGUAUCCGUUAAUUUUUUGGAUCAUUAAAGUACUAAUGAAAGUAAAUAUUUUUUUUUUUGUAGGAAUGAAAGUAGCACUAACACUCUAACCAACUUUUAAAAGAAGGAAAUUAAUCGGAAGAAGUCAGUUGCUUUUUAGUUGGAAUAUUGCAGUUUUAUUUCUUUAUGUCUUUCACUAGUCUCAAUUGAGUCUUUUGUGUUUCAAUUUGUACUCAUGCCCACUUAAUUAGUAUCCUGCAUAAUGACCAAAAAUAAAAUAAAACAUAAACUUGUAUCCCUCACAUUUGUCCUACAUAUCUUAUGCAGUUUGAUUAAUGUCAACUUAGGUCUUGUUUGAUAACCAAUUCAGCAAGAAACUUAAUGUUAAGGUAGUCUACCCUCAAAAAAAAAAAUGUUAAGAUAGUCUAAACCGAACAUGUAAAUUAAUUAAUAAUAAAAAGAACAUCUAAAUUAAUUAAGUACGUUAUACUGAAAUUUCUAGACAAAAUUUGAUCCAAAAAAUAAUUGAUAGGCUAUUUACUUAUCAUUUAAUGUGUUAUACAUUUAAAUGUAUUAGAUUUUGUACUUAACAAUUUAAUAAAUUAAGACUUCAGACUCUGAUGGAGAUAAUCCUUACAUUUAUUGGGCAAAAUCAUUAAAAAAAAAAACUAGUGAAAGUAUCGUACAAAUUCAAUUACAAUAUCAUUUCCUUGGUUUUUUAGAUCAUAAGGUCCAAUUGUCCAAUUAUGUUCAAUGGUUGAUAUCCUAAUCAGUAUCACAUGUACAGGGAUCAAGAAUGCAGGCUUCUCCUACGUGUGCAUCAAGUCAAUUUACAAAAUUUCAUUUGUGUGUACAAAAAUAAUCAGCUUCAUACGAAAGUAUUUAUCAUAGAUCAAUAUUAAUUAGAUAUUUUUUCGUAUGUAAUUAUUCCCAAAAGAAAAGAAAAAAUAUGGUUUGUCAAAAAUGUUCUUGAACCAUUUCAUCAAAAGCUACGUUAUCCAGAAAUUUCUUCUGCUAACUAAUAUGACCCCAUUUAUACCCCAAACUCAACGAGGGCAAGGCCCUCCAUGAUGUAGGGUUUUCUUGGGCUAAUAUGACUCCAUCAAGCAUCUUUUGAUGUUAACUAACUAAUAAUAUCUAAAUUGUGAGAUCUCAACCUCAGUAAUAAAAUUUCUGUUUGCCCUUUUUAUCAAAAACAAAAAAAAAAAAAAAAAAAAAAAAGAAGAAGAAAAGUGCGAGAUGAGAUCUCAACCUCUGUGGAGCAUCUUUGGGACCAAACAAAAAAUCACCCCCACCCAAAAACACACUUCCUUUUCCAUUGUGCCUGUGUUUGUUUAUUGCCAUAUUUUAGUUACAAAACACCAAAGACGCCAACCCAUUAUCUUGAUGAUCGAGCUUCCUGUUGUGGAAUCACAAGACAGCUCGAAACCCUUUGAAGAUUAGAUUAGUCGCUCAAGAUAUCAUAAUCAAAUCAUCCUUAGAUUGUCCUCUUUUGUUACUAUAAUACUACUACUAGACUUUUGACUCCUUUGUCCUAGCUAGUACAAAGAAAACAGCAGAUAUAUCAUUGUCACAUAUGUUCAAAUCUUUCCUUGAGACUCUCUCUUUACUGUUUGAAUACCAUGAAACUUACAAGCGUGAUUUUCUUUCUUAUCCUGGCUACCUUCUUGUGUUUGUUGUUUCUUACUCUAGGCAAAGAAGAAUCAAAUCAGAUGGUGAUAGGUGGUUCUGCAAGCUCCACCAAUACAGUAAGUGUUGCGUUAGCAUAAAGUCUGUAAAACAGCCCAAGAUAGAUGAAUAUUAUUAAUGGGUUUUUGUUUAUCUUCUCAAUGAGUUGGAUGCAGGUAAAAGCUGAGUGUGAGAAGGAGAAUAGUGUUCAUGAGUGCAAACAAGGCAAGAUUAAUGGAUCAGAAGAUAGUAAUACGAUUUUAGAGAAUGAAGACUACAUCUAUACUCAGUCUCUUCCCUAAGUAGGUGAAGAUUUGGUUUCCAUCAUAUAUAUUUGUCCUGAUCAGUUCUUUUGACUAGUAUUCAAGGCAAAAAACAAAAAAAAACAAAGAAAAAAUGUGCCCAACUAGUGCUCCUCCUUCUUCCUUGUCUUUAAAGAAACUUUGCCAAUUCGUAAGAUGAAAUCUUCAAUAUUCUUCACUUUAUUUUGUUUGCAUUGCAGUACUCAAGGAAAAUGGUUAUCCAGCAGGUGAUUUUGCACUUUUUUUUUUUCUUAGGUUUGUUAUGAGGCCAAAUUGAAUUGUUGAAUAGCAUCAGAAUUCUUUAAAACUCGCAAAAACACACCAGUCUGGCAGAUCUUGGCGAGCGCUCUUAGAUAUUAAUAACAAAAACAGAAAAACUCAAAAGUGAUAUUUAAUGGAUUUGUAGCUGUAUCUAAAUCUUCUUGAGCCAUUAAUUUAAAGAUUUAAUUUUGAUUUUGUUAGCAUUGAUUUUGGUAAGGAUUGUGCCGUCCAUAUUGGUUAUUGAUCACUUCAACUCGAAGGAGGAGUGGCCAUGCAGUACCUAUACUCCAAAGAAGUUAAAACACAUGCAAAUGAAGCUCCCAUUCAUGAAGAAUGAAGAAGAUCCAUUGCUAUUUAGCUAAAUGUUACCCAAAAAAAAAAAAUUUUUCCCAAGAAUUCAUAGGCAUAUAUUGGAUUUAUAGAGCGCUCUAAACAAAGAUAUAUGCAUCAUCACGAACUUAUUUCAUGAUAUAACAUUAUAAGACAGUCAUUCCUAUUUUAAAAAGAAAAACCAAUAUUUAACUGCCAAAGUAAUGUUUUUAUUAAAUGGCUAUUGAAUUCAUUGUCAAAUAUUUAUUUGCUUUGAUUUAUUGUACUUAAUCAAAAGUAUUUUCCCAUUCAUUAGUUUUAUCUGCCGAUCCUAGAGCUUAUAUUACUUUAAACUCCUUGUGUAUGUAUAGGAUUUACUAUUUAUUCUUCCUUUCAAGCUACAAGCUUGGUUGCUCUCAGGAUCUUGUUGAGAACCAUGGCAGAUAAUGAUAUGCUGCUAUAAGCAUAGAAAUGUAAAUUGAAAGGAACAAGUAGGGAAAAUUGAUUUCAUCAGGGGCUAUAACGAAAUCAUUCCUUCCAAGGAUCACAAAACCACCAACCCAAAAAAAAAAAAAAAAAAAGAGAGAGAGAGAUGAUCUGUGGAUCUCAAAUACCCUUGCACUGCUAUUUUUUGUGGGCUAGCAAAAGCAAAUGCAAAGUCAAAAUUGUGCAAGCCCUUUGAUGAUUCUUUUGGUAGCAAUUGAGAUCUUUUUUUUUUUUUUUGGGCAAAGAUUAGAGCCAGAUGACCGGAUCUAUAGAAUUUCUUGUUUCCACUAAGAACUGAGAAUAAUAAAAUUACGGAUAAAAGCAAUGCAAAUGAAGGCUGCAUUACCUGAUAUUGUGAUUCGCCCGGAAAAUUACAAAAGAAGAGAUUAAUCGGAUCAAAAGCCUCUUCUGUUGAAUUACUGUCUAAUUAUGUAAUUUUUAUAAUAUUUGGUGUAAAUUGAUACAACUUUAGUGUAAAUUUUGGAGAAUUGAGUUUGUCAGGUCAUGAAACUAAACUAAAAUAAAAAAAUCACGAUUGCAUCAAACUAUACGAGCUUACAGUAAAAGUUGUAAGAGUUAUAUAAAAUAGACCAAAAUGAACAGAUAUCAACCGGAGAGGCACCUGAUCUACGUUAAUCUCGUUGGUGGAUGAGGAUUCAAAUCAAGCCAGAUUAGAAGGUGCAAAGAUAAGAGGAAGAGUAUUGAGUUAAAAAAACUCAUAAAGAAAAAGAAAAAGCUAAAACUUGGCAACUUCUCAAGAAAUAUGUAGUACAUGGAUCUCCAGCAAGUCUCACUGCAGUAAUUGGUUUGGCACAUGAUGUAAUUGAACUAAUAAAGACUAGGGAGAAGGCCCAUGCAAAGCAUGGGAGUUUAUACCUAUGGUUUUGUUAAAUAAUUUGGUAAUGUUGGAUAAUUUGUUUUUAUCUUAGGCAAGGCAUGCUAUUAAUGGUUGCCAAAAAUGUCAUACCAUGUUUAUCUAAACAUUGCAUAUUAUUAUAAUAGGUAAUCAGUUGAGAGAAUUAAAAGUUUUGGCAACCAUAGUGAAGGGAUAAUAGACAUAGUUAUAGUUCAAAUUAAGGGUUGAUGCUUAAGUAAAUAACUGAGGUAGCAGUCUCGCAAUCUUUUCUAUUGAAGAGUAGGUGAUAUAGGAAUGAGAAAAGACACAAUUAGGUUUCUACUUCUCUAGGUACGGUACUUCUUAAUUGGUAGUUGAGCACCUUCUGCAGAAUUUUGAGUUUUAGUAAUUGUGGUCGGAACUUCUAGAGUGGAGCUUGGUUUUGUUGUUACUUCUGAAGACUUCUGUGUCAUGAGUUCAACUAAAUUCAGUAAGAAAAUAACAUAGCAUAUGAAUAUAGAGAUUUGUCUACUCAAAUAGUAAUUUCAAUCCACACACACCAACUCAUGCACUUAACUAUUGAAAUAAAACAUUGCAUCACCUGUAAUAUACUUUUAAAACUGGAUCAAUCAUUCAAACACUUGCUAAAAUCGCCACAUAGUUGUAAUCAAUGCAAUAAAAUUGAAAUCACAUUUAAACAACAGACAACAUGCAUCAAGUGGAAAUACACAAUUACCUUGUACCUUGAGGAACAAAAUGCAAUCUAAGAAAAUUUGCCCACACUUCACCCACCUACAAUAGCUAUUACAAAAGUUAAAUUAGGAAUUUUUAUUGUGCAAACAAAGCUAUACAGUUAACAAAGCGAGAAGAAAGAGUGAAAAUGAGCAUACCUCUACAAAUCUGAUUCUAAUGGUGUGAAAUAGAAACAUCUGAACCCACAGUUUUUAUAUUAAUGACUGCCAUUAUUACCACUUAGUUCAGAAACUAAUCUAUAAAUGGUGGAGAAAAUAGGGGGUCUUCAGUUACAACUUGUAAUGUUGAACUCAAAUGAUUCUUAAUCUCUCACACUUUAAUGAGCUCUUCAACAUGCUGCAAUUACCGGUUCAAAUGAGUGUGUUUUGUUGGAAGAAUGCAAUUAAUGUUUCUUAAACUUAACGAUGAAGAGCACAAAAUUUCCGACGGUUACAAUUCACAAAGAGUUUUCAAAUGGUUCUUCUACUUUGGGCAAUUAAUAUUGUCUUAAACACAUUUAAUUCAAUAGGAUGGCUUUCCCCCAAUUCACCUCACUUUCUUUGUGUUUUAAUCAUCAUCUCACAAAGGGCACUUUAGUAAACUUAUAUCCCAAUGAGCAUGGCCCACUUGUACUGUGUGGAUUACUUGUAUGAUGCUUAUACAAUCUCUAAAUUGCUCCUUAAAAUAUCAGAUAAAAAUCACCCAACAGACAAACUAUAACUCCUUUAUAUAUAUAUAUAGGAUAUAGGAUAUGAUGCUUAUACAAUCUCUAAAUUGCCCCUUAAAAUAUCAGAUAAAAAUCACCCAACAGACAAACUAUAACUCCUUGUUAUAUAUAUACUAGGGGGAAAAGCCCACGCAACGCAUGGGAGUUUGGUGCAUAUAAUUAAGGAUGGUUAAUAAUUAUUAUUUGGCAUUUUCUAGUAUAAGGAUUGAAGUAUGACAAUUUUUAUUAUGUAAUAUUAAAUAAAAAAAUCAUAAGUUACAUAUUGAGUUAAAAAUAUAUAUAAUAUGCAAUAAAACAUAAUUAUAAGAUACGAUCAACUAUUUUGCAUCUAAUCUAGUAUAAUAAAAUACCUAUUUAUAUCUGCUCAUGCACUUUAGGGAUAUUAAAAUUUGUUGUUUAGUUUAAAUUUGAUUUUGAUAUGAGGGCAAUCCACCACAUUAUCUUGUCAUAUAAAUGAGAUUUGAACAAUUAGCAUACUUGAAGAAAUCAUUGCUAGUGGAAUUUCGGUUCUUGCAAGCCAAAUUCUUGAAUUUAUAUUUGAUUCCAAGGACAUAUAUCAUCACAAUGCUUUCACAUUGAGCAAGCAAUUAAUUAUAAUUUAUUGUAUGAUUUAGGACAUAUAACAAAGCAUCUCCUUCUCGAUAGGGGUUACAAUCACGAAAUAUUAGUUUUGUGUUAGUUGCAAAGAUAUACAACAACUAACAUACUAAUUUAGAGGAAUAAUUACCUCAAAAAAGUACUAAAGCAUCUUAAUCCACUCAAUUUAAGAAAAAUAAUUAAAAGUAAUGAGGUACAUACUUUAUAUUUGUAGCCAAAUAGUUUUAAAUAGAUAGUUAAACAUAUUGGCAAAUCAGAUGAAGUGAAAAAUUAUCUAAAUGGAAUAGUCAAUAAAGUAGCAAACGAUUUGAAAAUUACCCAAACUAAUAGUUAAAACAACAAAAGAAGUAGAUGCAAUUUAUAAAUGGGAAAAUUUAUGAUGAUAAACUUAUUUUAAACCAUAAAUAACAAUUAAAAAAUGUGGUCUCUUUCUUAUCAAGCUUGUCUAACAUGGGCAAUUGAAUUAAAAUACUAAAAAAUUAUUGCAUAUACAACUUGCAAUAUUACAGAUUUUUUACAACAAAAAAAGUAAAUUGGUUAAAGAAAACAUACCUAUUGAAAAAGGUGUUGCAAAAUAGGGAAGAAGAGUAACUAAUGUAACAACAUCCGAAUUCAAUAUGCUGCAUGACUGUGGUGGAACAAAACCUAUAAGCAAAUGAAAUGAAUUUGAAUAGAUGGGGGUUACUAUGAUAACAGCCAAAAAACCAGACUUCUCUACUAAUUGACAUUAAUUGUGUCUUAACAUCUAUAUAUCAUAACUUUGCAAAUAACUAAUGAGAAAGGCUUGAAAAAAUUAAAAGACUUAGAUGUUAAUACAAUUAAAUGAUUAGAAGGGCUUUUAUGUAAUUUUACUAAAACACAAGCUGAGUUCAGACUAUUCAGUUGUACCCAAUGUUUAAUCGGAUAUCAAAUUUACCCCUAGUUUUAAAUGUUUAAAAGGACAUCUAAGUAAUUAGAACAAAAUUAAAUUAGUUAUAAUGACUCAUAUUCAAUACUCUAAUUGCACUUCAAACACUCUCACAUUUCCAAAAAAAUCCCACCCUUGCAGUUGAAAUUCAAGCCCUAAACUCAUUCUUAUAUAGUAUAAGGACUAGGGAGGGAGAACCCCCGCAACGCGUGGGAAUUUGGUACUUGUGAUUGAAGAUAAUUAAUAAUUAUUGUUUAAUAUUUUGUAGUAUAAGAACUGAAAUAUGAUAAUUUUAUCAUGUGAUUUUAACAGAAAAUUUAUAAGUUACAUAGUGAGUCAAUAAAAUAAUGUGCAAUGAAAUAUCCUUAUCCCUAUACUAUAUAAGAAUCAGUUAUGAUCAAAGGUUACGUUUGAAUUUCGACCGUAAAGAUAAAGGUAGUUAGAAAAUGUAAGAAUAUGUGAAGUGCAAUUGAAAAGUAUCCAAAAUUUUUUUCUAAAACUUAUCCAAGAUGAUAAAAUAUUUAAAAGUAUCAAUGGGACCCCUCAUCUCCCGAAUCUAUAUAUAUUCGUAAAAGAUCUCUCAAGUAAUGCUUUUAAUUUCUCCCUCGACUUAAGCUCAACUUGAAUUAUCAAGUCAAGUUUAUCCAUCAAUCACUUUAUGUCCAAUCUAAUCUAAAAUAACUUUAUUUUAGACUAACUAUUUAUAUAAUUGGUAGACAUAAUACGACUUAAUUACAUGUUUCUUAUAGAGAUAAUAAUGCCCAAAAAUGAUAGAGAUAAGAAACUUAAGUGGUCUCUUUAAAGUUUUGUAGAAACGAUUCAGAUUUGAUUUUUUUUUUUUUUUUGCUAGGGACAUUUCUUCAUAAUCUUAUAAAUAAGUUCAAAUCUGCAUAAUUGUUAAAUAUCUAAUUUGAAAUUACCUUGAUUAUAAAAAAUUGGUGCAAAUAAUAUUUUCUAAAUUUGAAAUUAUAGGAAAUGGUAACUAAAAUCAGAAGAAAUUGCUUAUAUGAAUUUGAAUUACAAGCUAUGGUAGAAUCUGCUUAAUGAUAUUUUCUAAUAUUUACUUGUAUAAUUAUCCAAUAUAACAACUCUGCGUAAUUGACUCGUUUGAACUAUGAAUAAUAGUUGCAAUCAAAUCAAGAAACAUUAUUUAUUAGUGUAUAGUAUAAAAUUAUGGUAAAUGAAUUAAUACAAUGCAAUCAAAAUGGUGCUGUAGCUGAAGCAUUUAAACUCAUCAAAUUCCAUUACAAAUUCUUUUAGAUAACAUGUUAAAUAAUAUCGCAAAACGAGUUGUCAAAGUACAAAAGCAAAUUUUUUGUAUUUGGAAUUAUAUAAACAACAGAGUACAAGAAUGAGAUCAUAACAUGGAAAGCAAAUAGAGUACAAAUUACAUCUUAGUACUAUGUAGCAUGAUUAAUUUUCUUUUUUAGUUUCAAUGAAGGACAAAAUUCUAAGUUAAUAAAUUUUACAAUUAUAAAAUUUCCAAUUAAAAUAAACACAAGCUGAAUUCCAAAUCAUAUUACAUGAAAAACUAAAUAAAAAUAACUACUUGAACCAUACUUUAUCUAUAAUAUAAAAUGCCAUAAUAAUUCUAUUCAACCAUCAAAAAUUUUGUCAAGCAUUAAACCAUUGGCAGAAUCACCAGGCCUCGAUUCCAUCCCUUCUUGCUAUGCUUACUGCAACACCUACACCCAUAAGCCUAUUGCCUCAUAACCUCAAGUUUCAAUCCCUAACAUUAUUUUUUCAUACCUUACUUUGAACAAUACUGAUUAGUAUCUUCAAGCUAUCUGAGACUUUGGAAGAAGAUGUCAAGAUUGGGGUUUCUUCAUGGUAACUACCAGAUCAUUCCUUUUUCUUUUUUUUCCUUUUCAUUUGGGAAUUUGGAUUCCUAGCAAUUUAGUAGCAACAAGACACUGGGAAUUCUAGAAAUUCAGACUCCCUUCUUUUCUAGAACUGUCAAAAUACAUAGUUUAAAUGAUACAUAGUAUGUGACGACGCGUGUAGGUGAUAAAUCACGACAUACCAGAAAGUCUAAUGAAUGCAAUAUUUGAUGUUAGCAACUUGGCCGAGGAGGAGAAGAUGGGAUAUGAAACUAAGCAUAUGUUGGAUCCAGUGUGGCAUGAGCUUCAAUGCUUCCAAAAGCAAAUCGAUCUUCUUCAGGUUUGGAGGGACUUCUUCAAGAUCAUCGUCCUACUUGCUUUUGCAAUGCCCUCAUGUUAUACCCUAUUCUAAUUAAACUUUGACUUAAUAUCUAUAACUUAUAAGUAACAAAUUUAUAAGAACAAAUAAAUUCCGUUACUUUAAAAAUUAGUUUUACACAACUUCAUUCAAUGAAUUAUAAGCAAGGUGAUAAAAUUGCUAACCUUAUUCAAGAUAUAUGCAACAAAGCCCGAUUUUGAUACCAAUUUCAACCUAUUUCACAAAUACAAGAACCAGAAAAAUAGUACAAUUAGUUAGUUUUUGGAAUUAGAAUUAUCAAAAAGCAAACUAUAUGGAGUUUUUGAAUAAACCAAUCAUAAAAAAAAAACCACCUCAAACCCAAAGAACUCACGUCAAUUUAAAGGAAAAGCUAUGCCUUCCACCAAAUAUUUAAUAACCAUAAUAAAACCAAAGAGGUGAAACAAAAAAAGAAGAAAGGCUAUCGACUGAACACGGAUGCAUAACUAUGGCGAUGGUUGUUUAGGACAAUCGGCUGAACCUGGGGUAUAACUAUGAUAAUGGUUGUUCAGGUAAUAAUUAGGUUAAUUAAUUGUAAUUAAAAUCCAAUUAUGUAAACAUCCAAUUAAUUCCUUAACGGAUGAGAAAGACUUUAGGAAAUUGGAAGGUUUGGGUGUUAGUAUAAUAAAUGAUUAAAAGGUCUUUUAUGUAAUUCUAUCAAAACACAAUCUUAAUUCAGUUGUAUCUGAUACUCAACUUGGCACCAAACAUUGUCACUUACCGAACUUGCCUCUAGUCUUAAAUGUCUGAAAGGUUAUAUAAGUAAUUAUAACAAAAUUAAAGCUGUAAUAACUUGUACUUAAUGCUCUAAUUGUAUUUCAAACACUCUUACAUUCCCAAAAUAACCCAACCCCUUACGGUUGAAAUCUAAAAACUAUCUUUACCCUGAACUCGUUCUUAUAUGGCAAAAGGAUAGGAAACUUUUCAUUCAACAAGCAAUACAAGGAAACUCUACGGUCCAUCUUGCUACUCUUAUGACAUACUUCUUGAAUGUUGUGAAGGUGAUUAUUAUAUUGAUUGCCCCUAACCAGAAUGUCUGCUAUAGUACAUUGAAUGGUCGAAACACCACUCUCUGUUAGAACCUGGCUCCCACCUUAGUUACUCAGGCUAGAGAUGCAAGUCUUUUCCUCGUUGAUUUUUUUUUUCUUGUACUUUUAGUUUGUAGUUCAAGUGUUCAACUUCCAUUGGUUUCGCCAGAUUCGUUUCAUGUGAUUAGCUACUGCUGAAGAAACGACAAAACAUACUUCAAGACAGCAUGAGCUAUCAUGGUUGAAGAUGUCAAACUUUCACACGGAAAUCAGAUUAAGUAUUGGCUUCUGCACAUGGACAUCCAACCUACGGACAGGUACAGCUCAAUGACUUGGACGAGCGUGUGUUAUCCAAGAAGCCAAAUAGAAUAGGAGAUGGAGAUAGAGAGAGGUACACGAAAGAUAGAUACUUCCUUUUGUCUCUUACAAUACCAGACUUAAUCUGGUACUCUGGUCAAUAGUAACUCUACAAAUCCCAAGCAUAGAAACACAAGCAUUAUAUAUCUGACUUGAAUGGCAUAAACUGAAGUUCUUAAAAAUCUGUGUCAUCUAAAGAAUGACAUUUUUGAGUCUAUGGCAUUACAGGGUACAAUUGGAUCAAAACUUCCUAAGAGGAGGCUGUAGCUACAAGAAUUGCUAUAUGCAUUACACAUGCUAUACAAUGGUCUAACAAUUUUGAUGUAAAAAAUCUACAAGUUACAUACAUCUAUACACAAGG